GCGGGUUCACCCAGGUAGACUCCUCGUUCGACACCGAUACGCAUGAGCCCUCCCUUUUGACAGAGAAGUCAACUCGUAUGCGGACGUCGUCCGUGCUUAGCGUAAAACGCUUAACUAGGUAUGCGACGAUUUAACGCCCAUUACCCCUCAACAUUCUGCAUCCCAAAGCACAACUAAGGCCGUACUCCUGACCACAACGCUUGAUUUUUGCCGUCGAGGUUGGAGGACGGGCCCAGCUACAAAGGUCCACCGAACACCUUUAAGGAUGUCGGACGGAAACAAACAAUUUAAAGGGGCAUCAAUACCAUCAUUAGGAAUGAAACCACGAAAAACCAGGCAUAAAGCACUUUGAACAAAACUGAAAAAGUUUGUCGGCGUGCGGUUUCAUGCCCUAGCAUCAGCCCGCCACCAAAAAAACA
rnacentral:misc_RNA from 1 species